rnacentral:rRNA from 1 species
GAUGAACGCUGGCGGCGUGCCUAAUACAUGCAAGUCGAGCGAACGGACGAGAAGCUUGCUUCUCUGAUGUUAGCGGCGGACGGGUGAGUAACACGUGGAUAACCUACCUAUAGACUGGGAUAACUUCGGGAAACCGGAGCUAAUACCGGAUGAUAUUUUGAACCGCAUUGUUCAAAAGUGAAAGACGGUCUUGCUGUCACUUAUAGAUGGAUCCGCGCUGCAUUAGCUAGUUGGUAAGGUAACGGCUUACCAAGGCAACGAUGCAUAGCCGACCUGAGAGGGUGAUCGGCCACACUGGAACUGAGACACGGUCCAGACUCCUACGGGAGGCAGCAGUAGGGAAUCUUCCGCAAUGGGCGAAAGCCUGACGGAGCAACGCCGCGUGAGUGAUGAAGGUCUUCGGAUCGUAAAACUCUGUUAUUAGGGAAGAACAUAUGUGUAAGUAACUGUGCACAUCUUGACGGUACCUAAUCAGAAAGCCACGGCUAACUACGUG